UACGUAGGGUGCAAGCGUUGUCCGGAAUUAUUGGGCGUAAAGAGCUCGUAGGCGGUCUGUCGCGUCUGCUGUGAAAACUCAGGGCUUAACCCUGAGCUUGCAGUGGGUACGGGCAGACUAGAGUGCGGUAGGGGAGACUGGAAUUCCAGGUGUAGCGGUGAAAUGCGUAGAUAUCUGGAGGAACACCGGUGGCGAAGGCGGCAUCCUGGACCGGCAUUGACGCUGAGGAGCGAAAGCCAGGGGAGCAAACGGG
rnacentral:rRNA from 1 species